rnacentral:rRNA from 1 species
AUCCAUGGCUCAGAACGAACGCUGGCGGCGCGCCUAAUACACGCAAGUCGAGCGAGAAGACGUAGCAAUACGUUUGUAAAGCGGCGAACGGGUGAGGAAUACAUGGGUAACCUACCCUUGAGUGGGGAAUAACUAGCCGAAAGGUUAGCUAAUACCGCGUACGCUUCUUGGACUUCGGUUCAGGGAGGAAAGCGAUACCGUGGGUAUCGCGCUCUUGGAUGGGCUCAUGUCCUAUCAGCUUGUUGGUGAGGUAACGGCUCACCAAGGCUUCGACGGGUAGCUGGUCUGAGAGGACGAUCAGCCACACUGGCACUGCGACACGGGCCAGACUCCUACGGGAGGCAGCAGUAAGGAAUAUUGCGCAAUGGGCGAAAGCCUGACGCAGCGACGCCGCGUGGGGGAUGAAGGUCUUCGGAUUGUAAACCCCUUUCGGGAGGGAAGAUGGAACGAGCAAUCGUUCGGGCGGUACCUCCAGAAGCAGCCACGGCUAACUUCGUGCCAGCAGCCGCGGUAAUACGAAGGUGGCAAGCGUUGUUCGGAUUUACUGGGCGUACAGGGAGCGUAGGCGGUUCGGUAAGCCCUCUGUGAAAUCUCCAGGCUUAACCUGGAACAGUCGGAGGGGACUGUCGGGCUAGAGGACGGGAGAGGAGCGCGGAAUUCCCGGUGUAGCGGUGAAAUGCGUAGAGAUCGGGAGGAAGGCC